rnacentral:rRNA from 1 species
CGACGAUCUGUAGCUGGUCUAAGAGGAUGAUCAGCCACACUGGGACUGAGACACGGCCCAGACUCCUACGGGAGGCAGCAGUGGGGAAUAUUGGACAAUGGGCGAAAGCCUGAUCCAGCCAUGCCGCGUGUGUGAAGAAGGCCUUUUGGUUGUAAAGCACUUUAAGUGGGGAGGAAAAGCUUAUGGUUAAUACCCAUAAGCCCUGACGUUACCCACAGAAUAAGCACCGGCUAACUCUGUGCCAGCAGCCGCGGUAAUACAGAGGGUGCAAGCGUUAAUCGGAAUUACUGGGCGUAAAGCGCGCGUAGGUGGUUAUUUAAGUCAGAUGUGAAAGCCCCGGGCUUAACCUGGGAACUGCAUCUGAUACUGGAUAACUAGAGUAGGUGAGAGGGGAGUAGAAUUCCAGGUGUAGCGGUGAAAUGCGUAGAGAUCUGGAGGAAUACCGAUGGCGAAGGCAGCUCCCUGGCAUCAUACUGACACUGAGGUGCGAAAGCGUGGGUAGCAAACAGGAUUAGAUACCCUGGUAGUCCACGCCGUAAACGAUGUCUACCAGUCGUUGGGUCUUUUAAAGACUUAGUGACGCAGUUAACGCAAUAAGUAG